UACGUAGGGCGCAAGCGUUAUCCGGAAUUACUGGGCGUAAAGCGCGCGUAGGCGGAUCGCUAAGUCAGGGGUGAAAUCCCAGGGCUCAACCCUGGAACUGCCUUUGAUACUGACGAUCUGGAGAUCGGGAGAGGUUGGUGGAAUUCCGAGUGUAGAGGUGAAAUUCGUAGAUAUUCGGAGGAACACCAGAAGCGAAGGCGGCCAACUGGCCCGAUACUGACGCUGAGGCGCGAAAGCGUGGGGAGCAAACAGG
rnacentral:rRNA from 1 species